rnacentral:rRNA from 1 species
GUCGUUCACUACAAUUAAAUGUCGUAACGACUCUCGGCAACGGAUAUCUCGGCUCUCGCAUCGAUGAAGAACGUAGCGAAAUGCGAUACUUGGUGUGAAUUGCAGAAUCCCGUGAACCAUCGAGUCUUUGAACGCAAGUUGCGCCCGAAGCCGUUAGGCCGA